AGAGGGAGAGUAAUUUGGUUUUUUGCUAUAUUUUUAACGGCAGAAAUAGACAGAAGGACUAUUUCGUUGACGGAGAUGAAUGAUAAGGACAUUUUAAUAGGUUUCUAAAAAUGUAGGGACUGACUUGUUAAUAAUAGCAAUACUUAGGGACUAAAUUAUAAAUUUUUCUUUUUUUAAUCACCAUCGAAUAGUUUUUCCUGUCUUUCAUGGCAGGAAGAGCCGCUCUAUCAACUCAAAAUGUGGGUUACCCUCCCCCCAUUUUAGGUUAGGCAUAAAUAUUUUUAUUUUCCUUUUAUUGCGGUAGAUCCAAGGAUGUUGAAAGUGAAGGUUUUGUUAUUGGAAAUCUGCAGUUGGCCUUUUUUCUUGCGUGCAUAAACCUGUUAGUGUUUUUUUUAUGAUAGGCAGGAAAAGAGAUCUCCAUUUAUUUAUGUAUUUUCUUUUUCUUAUUGCUUUAUUUUGGAGGCAGAGUUUAUUGGUAGAAAAUAUAUUUUUAGACCUACCUAUUAUAGGUCCAUAUUUGUGCUGUUCUUAGAUAAGUUUUGGUCAUUUUCCUUCUAGGUUUUAUUAAUGUUUGAGUUUUGAUAGCAUAAGAGGGAGUUGCUAUUGAUUUAGCAGUUUUUUUUUCUCAAGGAAAGGUUAUCUUUAGGGAUAUUAAUUUUAUCCUUAAGAUAUUCGAUUCUUAAGACUAUAGAGAUUGAUAGGCUUGGAGUUUUACCUUCUCGAUUAGGUUUUUGGUAAUGCCUAGAUUCCUUGAGCACAACGAUUCUUUCAUGCUUUUCAUGGUUCGAUCGUCCAGUGUUUUUGUUAGUUGCGUUGCUCUAUUUCUAACCUUUAUUUGUUGAAAUGGUUGGAGAGGAGUGGUACUGCAUCUUUUUCUGUGACUAAAUCAUGGAUGUUACAAGUUGGCUAACUUGCCGACGCUAUUGCUCUAGGUUGUUUCGUUAUAACUAGGCUGUCUCUUAUUGUAUUGAGCUAUAGGUUAUUUGUUGAAAUGGUUGGAGAGAAACGGUAUUGCAUCUUUUCUGUGACUAAAUCAUGGAUGUUACAAGUUGGCUAACCUGCCGACACUAUUGCUCUAGGUUGUUUCGUUAUAACUAGACUGUCUCUUAUUGUAUUGAGCUGUAGGUUUGAGAAAUUUUUGUUAUGAUCUACGUAACUUUAGUAUUCAUCUAAUAUAAUUUUUUUAUUGCAAAAUUUAAGAAAAAUUCUAAAAAUUUAAUUACAUAAAUUGUGCUUUUUCUUUGAGAUUUAAUGUAAUUAAUAGAUUAAUUUUUUAUAUUUUAAAACCAAACAUUUAAAUCCUUAUAUUUUUAGUCCAUCUAAAAAUCAGGUUCUUCAUUUAUCAGCUAUCAUUAUAUAAAUUGAAAUAUCUUUUUUGCCCUUUUUAAAAUUUAAGAUGUUAACUAGAAUUACAAUUCUUAUUAAACGC
rnacentral:lncRNA from 1 species